AUCCACUAGUGAGAACACAUGACAAACAACACGUGUCACAACACUGACAGGCUGAAUGCUGCUGCCGCCCCCUGCAGGACGCAGAGGCUUCAGUGGUUAAUGAGGCUGUAAGCUACAUGCUAACAUCAGCAUGCAAACACACCCAAUGACAGUCCUAACAUGUUGAUGUUUAUUCGGUUCAGUGUUUCCUGUGGUCACCGUUUAGUUUCCUUUUUUUUUUCAUAAAAACCAGAAAUGUCAACCUCACUGAGGAUCACCAAAAUCUGUGGGAUUCAUCCUAGGUGGACCCUGAAUGCCUGUACAACAUUUUAUCCAGUAGAUGUUGAGACAUUUUGUAAAUGACCUUUAACGUGAACAUUGUUUCUACGUGUAUACUGUUUAUUGAUAUUCUUUCAAGCCAGGUUAUUAUUUCAUUAUUUUUAUCAGACGUCAAAAUAGUAACCUUUAUUUUGAAAGGGCUUCGCUGGAAAAAGCGGACGGAGUCAGCAAGCGCACAAAAGUGCGCGUGUGUCUUGAGAAGCACGUCCACGGAAUGAGAAGAGAGUGAUUAAUUAUUGUAUUAUCAUAUGAUUAAUAAGCCCCUGGCUGAUACGGCACAAGGCGUCAUCCUGCUGAUGGUUGGAACAUCAUAACCAGCACUGAUGAAGUUCCCAGUGUACUGCUCCAGCUGGAACUCGCUCAGCCACUGAUAGAUGGCCUCUGCAUCCUACAACACACACCAACAGCUGCUGAGGACGAACAAACUGCUGGGAGAAACUCUGCUCUGCGGCCCUCUGCACCGUCACCGUCGGCCUGCGGGGAGUCCCACCUGCAGUGACAUCACAAAGCACCACAGCAGGUGUACUUUAAGAAAAUGAAGAAAAAGGAACAAAAGGGAGCUGCUGCUCGUCUCCUGUUUGCAGACUGUGGUGAAACAUGUAUGUGUUUGAUUCUUGUCGUACCUGAUGUGCAGGACCCUGCAGGCUGAUCAGGCUGCAUGCUGACGUCUGACUGUCCAGAAUCAACAGCAGAGGGCGCCAGCUGCACACAAAAAUACAGCCAGUGAACAGAAUUCAGCUGAAGAGCAGGGAAACCAGCUGAACAUUGUGUCUUGGGAUUCAAGUCAGUCUGCCAACAGCUCAUUUUCAACAUUUUUAGUAUACAAACAGAAAAUGACAAGGAAACACAGUUCAUUCUGUGCAAAAACUACAACUUUAAAAACUGAAUCCCACAGAACAAAAAGAUUUCUGGUUAUUUUUGUGUCCUCUGAUGAAAUUAAAUGAUAAAGUAAAGAAUUGCUGCUGACAGCUUUGAUA